CGUGAGCCUGGACGUCUAACCGCGAUUACCGCGCACGGAGAACUCCGGCGCCGGGGAAAUACAUUUACGCGAAAACGUGGACGUUUACAGACACGAAAAUUCCCGUACAGAAACGCGUUUCAAACAUUUUCGCUGAAUUUUCACAAACAGCCGCGAUCAACGGAGUCUCGUAACUAUAGAAUCGAAUUUUUCUCUUUCUGUUUUGUGUAACAGAAAUAAUCACCAUGACUCCUGAAAAAUAUUGAACCGUCUCAUAAACUCCACGUGCACCGAUCGUUGUACAAUAAUAAAUAACCGGAUCGGUAAUACAAUUAUAAUACAGCACCAUUUUUUACCACUGUCUUUCAGAAUUAUCGGAACUAGAAUCUAAUAUCUUCCAGAAAGAAAAAUAGAUAGUGAAAUUUGAUCAUAAAACUGGUAGACGUGGAGAUUGAACGUGACAAAAUACACGGGUUGUAUGCUAUUGAUCAUUGUCUUUAAUCAGUAUAUAAUGUUUAUAUUUAUUAUCAACAAAAAGUAUGUUACACUAUACGUACAAUGUUAUGUUACCAUAUUAUAUUGAAAGCAACGAUUAAUGAUUGUGAUCAAAAAACGUUCCAGAGCAAUAUAAGUUAUAUUAGUCGUGUCCAUUUUCUCAGUAACCAAGGUAACCAAGAAAUCAAUAAAAAUAAAAUCGUUAUUUAUUAUCAGUUUUUUUUUUUUAAAUUAUAGUACAACCGGGCGAAACACCCGCAUUUUUCAAUGUAUGGCGUCAAUAAAUCUGAACAUUUUUACUCGCC